rnacentral:rRNA from 1 species
GGCGAGUGAAGCGGCAAAAGCUCAAAUUUGAAAUCUAGUACCUUCGGUGCUCGAGUUGUAAUUUGGAGAUAGUUUUCUGGUGCUGGCCCUUGUCUAUGUUCCUUGGAACAGGACGUCAUAGAGGGUGAGAAUCCCGUCUGAUGGGGUGUCCAGUGCUUUGUAGAUUUCUAUCGAAGAGUCGAGUUGUUUGGGAAUGCAGCUCUAAGUGGGUGGUAAAUUCCAUCUAAAGCUAAAUAUUGGCGAGAGACCGAUAGCGAACAAGUACAGUGAUGGAAAGAUGAAAAGAACUUUGAAAAGAGAGUGAAAAAGUACGUGAAAUUGUUGAAAGGGAAGGAUAUUGGAUCAGACUUGGUGUUUUGUGAUUAUCUUCCCUUCUUGGGUUGUGCACUCGCAUUUCACUGGGCCAGCAUCGAUUCGGAUGGCAAGAUAAUGGCUUGGGAACGUGGCUCUCUUCGGGGAGUGUUAUAGCCCUUGUUGAUGUUGCCUAUCUGGAUCGAGGACUGCGGC